AUGAAGAGAAAGAAAGCUUUUCAUAGUUUUUAUCGGCAAAAGGAGGGAAACAAAGAAAGCUUCCUUCUUAUCUCUAUUUCAUCUCUCUUCUUAUCUCUCUUUUAUCUCUUCUUAUCUUUCUUUUAUCUCUUCUUAUCUCU
rnacentral:ribozyme from 1 species